GUUUAGCUCAGCAGCACAAGUGCCUGCCUGACAAGCAGGUGGUCAUGAGUUCAAAUCUCUCAAC
rnacentral:tRNA from 1 species